rnacentral:rRNA from 1 species
AGUGAACGCUGGCGGUAGGCCUAACACAUGCAAGUCGAACGGCAGCACAGUAAUAGCUUGCUCUUACGGGUUGCGAGUGGCGGACGGGUGAGGAAUACAUCCUAAUCUACUUUUUCGUGGGGGAUAACGUAGGUAAACUUACGCUAAUACCGCAUACGACCUACGGUUGAAAGCAGUGGAUCUUCGGACCUUGCGCGAUUGAAUGAGCCGAUUUCGGAUUAGCUAGUGGGCGGGGUCAAGGCCCACCAAGGCGACGAUCCGUAGCUGGUCUGAGAGGAGGAUCAGCCACACUGGAAAUGAGACACGGUCCAGACUCCUACGGGAGGCAGCAGUGGGGAAUAUUGGACAAAGGGCGCAAGAAUGAUACAGCCAUACCGCGUCGGUGAAGAAGGCCUUCGGGUUGUAAAGACCUUUUGUUGGGAAAGAAAAGCAGUAGGCUAAGACAAAGCUGUUGUGACGGUACCUACAGAAGAAGCACCGGCUAACUACGUG